rnacentral:tRNA from 1 species
GCCUGGCUAGCUCAGUUGGUAGAGCAUGAGACUCUUAACCUCAGGGUUGUGGGUUUGAGCCCUAUGUUGGGCA